AGCUCCUGUGCCCUCGAUUCCAUCCCUCUUCCUGUUGAGGAUGUGCAUGUUCCCAAGACUGAGCCUGAUUUUCCAGUACAGCCCUCUUUCUUACGAGCUAAACAAAUGUCUCAGGAAGAUGUUGAAGGAGGAUCCCAGGAGAAGGUGGAGCAGCUGCAGGCCUGGGUGCUGCCCUGUGGCCAACAAGUCAGCUACUUCAGGAUGAUGGGCGUCAUGGGAAGACCAGUGAAUUCCAUGGGGAUGGGCCCAUUGGCUGCACUUCGUUUGCUGUGAAAUGCUUGGCUGGAAGCAAUGCUGUAUUAUACCAUGACGGUGGAUAAGGCAUUCUGUAAGGCCACGGACAAUGGCAGAAGCAUUGUGGGCAGGGAAGAGAAAUCCAUGCCUAUGGUGGACCCAAUGUAACUGCCAAAGUUCUUAUAAGAGAAAGAGGGAGACAGGAGAGAGACAAUCAGAGAGUAGGAUGUGGAUGUGACAACGGAAGUGGAGGCUGGAGUGAUACAAGGAAGGAGCCAUGAACCAAAGAAUGCAGGUGGCCUUAAGAAGUGGAAAAAUAACUCAAACUCUAACCUGAGGGUUUUUAAAGAAUGGAUUUUGUAAUUUCAACAUUGUACCACUUUCUGAAAUAUUACUGAUUCUC